ACGUGACACGAGGCACUUCCUAUUGCCUGUAGUAGGAAGUUCGUUUUAAGCUCCACUUCCUCAUAUAGCAGAAUGGGUCCAAUUUCAUUUUUACGUGCUUUCAUUCUGAUGUAUUCAUGUCAAAUGCAAGGGUCCAGUGCUGCGACUCCUGUGUUUGUGCAGAAGGGCGGUGAUGUUCUUCUGGAGGUCAUGCAAGCUGAUGUACCUACAGAUUUUCUUUUUCUUUCAUGGACAUUCAAUAGAAGGGACGUUUUAGUAAUAUUUUCACCCGGCAAAGAACCAGUGGUCUCCAAUGCUUACGAUGGCAGGGUUGAGGCUUUUGUGAAAAAUGACUCCGUCAAAAUGAAGAAUCUAACAGAGGCCGACACUGGAGUUUACACUGCGCGAGUGGUAGGGGUUCAAGAACAAAUACUAGCUGAAUACAACGUCACGGUUGAAGAUCCAGUGUCUCCAGUUGAGCUGACAGUAGAGUCCGUGUCCGCCAGCUCAGACUCCUGUAACAUCAGUGUGACCUGCAGCACACGGGACUCACAUCACAUUAACAGCACUUUCCGAUGUGACGCCCAAACCUGCGGUCAGGAGGGGGGACAGGGAACCCAGGUCGCAACCGCUGGCGCUUCCCUCCAUGUCUACCUGUCGCACGGCUCAAUCGUCUGUAACCACAGCAACCGGGUCAGCUGGGCCAAGGACAUGAAAACAACGAAACAUUUUUGUACCAGACACGCUGAGCCUAUAACCUACCGUAACUAUGUUAUUGGUAUUGCCAGUGUGGUUGUUUUCGUCACACUACUCAUAGCACUUGUUGCAGCUGUUCGUUAUCAUCGAAAAAGCGGAAAAUAUAAAAGACAGGACACUGAAAAUACAGUGUGUGCAGAUCCUCAGGUAAGCCUCAGUUUUUGAAACAUCACUCUUCCAACUUUGCCAGAUGAGAUAAAGGAAUUUCAGAUUUGAGCAAUUUAACAAUUGAGACUGGAUUUGAGGAAAGAGGCAAAACGAUGAAGGUGGUCUAUUUGCUGUACAUGACCCGUGGCUCCUUGCUAGGCCAACUACUGAAUUAAUCUGCCGUUCCUGGUCCCGCUGCUUGCUCCCGCCCGCAACAUGUGUUCGCCACUGGUCGUGCUGCUGCUUCCUUGUGCUCAAAUAAGCGUGAUGGAAUAUCCAGACGGACCGCGAUCACUCCGCCGGACGUCCUUCCAAGGUCGAAACUAUAGCACAACAUCUGGUUACGAAUCCAACCAAUGAUGCGCCUUCAUCCAUCUACGACUCGGUACGGUCUCAUCCUGGAUCCAUGGGAUCCACUGAGGCUGAAUGUAGGACUGUGCCAGAAACUUUGUAUUCUGAGGUAAAAAAGCUUGCCAUGGCCUGAAAAAAAAUCAGGAAUCGCAUUCCACGUACUGCCCAUGUUGUGAUUUCCAGUUUGUAUUCAAGUGUUGCCCGAGCUGGCGACACAGCCCCC